rnacentral:rRNA from 1 species
UACGUAGGCAGCAAGCGUUGUUCGGAGUUACUGGGCGUAAAGGGCUCGUAGGUGGCCGACUAAGUCAGACGUGAAAUCCCUCAGCUUAACUGGGGAACUGCGUCUGAUACUGGAUGGCUUGAGUUUGGGAGAGGGAUGCGGAAUUCCAGGUGUAGCGGUGAAAUGCGUAGAUAUCUGGAGGAACACCGGUGGCGAAGGCGGCAUCCUGGACCAACACUGACACUGAGGAGCGAAAGCCAGGGGAGCAAACGGG